AUUGAACGCUGGCGGCAGGCCUAACACAUGCAAGUCGAGCGGAGCGGCGGACGGGUGAGUAAUGCCUAGGAAUCUGCCUGGUAGUGGGGGAUAACGUCCGGAAACGGGCGCUAAUACCGCAUACUAUCAGAUGAGCCUAGGUCGGAUUAGCUAGUUGGGGGGGAAAAGCCCUACCAAGGCGACGAUCCGUAACUGGUCUGCGAGGAUGAUAAGUCACACUGGAACUGGUACACGGUCCAGGCUCCGCCGGGAGGCAGCAGUGGGGAAUAUUGGACAAUGGGGGAAAGCCUGAUCCAGCCAUGCCGCGUGUGUGAAGAAGGUCUUCGGAUUGUAAAGCACUUUAAGUUGGGAGGCGUUACCAACAGAAUAAGCACCGGCUAACUUCGUGCCAGCCGCCGCGGUAAUUC
rnacentral:rRNA from 1 species